rnacentral:rRNA from 1 species
CCCUUAGAUGUUCUGGGCUGCACGCGCGCUACACUGAUGCACUCAACGAGUUUACGACCUUGCCCGAUAGGGUUGGGUAAUCUUUUUAAAAUGCAUCGUGAUGGGGAUAGAUUAUUGCAAUUAUUAAUCUUCAACGAGGAAUUCCUAGUAAGCGCAAGUCAUCAGCUCGUGCUGAUUACGUCCCUGCCCUUUGUACACACCGCCCGUCGCUCCUACCGAUUGAGUGCUCAGGUGAAUAAUUCGGACUGCAGCAAUGUUUGGAUCCCGAACGUUGCAGCGGAAAGUUUAGUGAACCUUAUCACUUAGAGGAAGGAGAAGUCGUAACA